rnacentral:tRNA from 1 species
GGCCAUCAGGGCCACGCCCAGGGCGCCGCCCAUCUGGCGGGCGAACAGGACGCCGCUGGUGACGGCCCCCAGUUCGUGCCGGGGGGAGGCUUCC